UGUAUAAUGGGUCAGCGACUUAUAUUCUGUAGCAAGGUUAACCGAAUAGGGGAGCCGAAGGGAAACCGAGUCUUAACUGGGCGUUAAGUUGCAGGGUAUAGACCCGAAACCCGGUGAUCUAGCCAUGGGCAGGUUGAAGGUUGGGUAACACUAACUGGAGGACCGAACCGACUAAUGUUGAAAAAUUAGCGGAUGACUUGUGGCUGGGGGUGAAAGGCCAAUCAAACCGGGAGAUAGCUGGUUCUCCCCGAAAGCUAUUUAGGUAGCGCCUCGUGAAUUCAUCUCCGGGGGUAGAGCACUGUUUCGGCAAGGGGGUCAUCCCGACUUACCAACCCGAUGCAAACUGCGAAUACCGGAGAAUGUUAUCACGGGAGACACACGGCGGGUGCUAACGUCCGUCGUGAAGAGGGAAACAACCCAGACCGCCAGCUAAGGUCCCAAAGUCAUGGUUAAGUGGGAAACGAUGUGGGAAGGCCCAGACAGCCAGGAUGUUGGCUUAGAAGCAGCCAUCAUUUAAAGAAAGCGUAAUAGCUCACUGGUCGAGUCGGCCUGCGCGGAAGAUGUAACGGGGCUAAACCAUGCACCGAAGCUGCGGCAGCGACACUAUGUGUUGUUGGGUAGGGGAGCGUUCUGUAAGCCUGUGAAGGUGGCCUGUGAGGGUUGCUGGAGGUAUCAGAAGUGCGAAUGCUGACAUAAGUAACGAUAAAGCGGGUGAAAAGCCCGCUCGCCGGAAGACCAAGGGUUCCUGUCCAACGUUAAUCGGGGCAGGGUGAGUCGACCCCUAAGGCGAGGCCGAAAGGCGUAGUCGAUGGGAAACAGGUUAAUAUUCCUGUACUUGGUGUUACUGCGAAGGGGGGACGGAGAAGGCUAUGUUGGCCGGGCGACGGUUGUCCCGGUUUAAGCGUGUAGGCUGGUUUUCCAGGCAAAUCCGGAAAACCAAGGCUGAGGCGUGAUGACGAGGCACUACGGUGCUGAAGCGACAAAUGCCCUGCUUCCAGGAAAAGCCUCUAAGCAUCAGGUAACAUCAAAUCGUACCCCAAACCGACACAGGUGGUCAGGUAGAGAAUACCAAGGCGCUUGAGAGAACUCGGGUGAAGGAACUAGGCAAAAUGGUGCCGUAACUUCGGGAGAAGGCACGCUGAUAUGUAGGUGAAGCGACUUGCUCGUGGAGCUGAAAUCAGUCGAAGAUACCAGCUGGCUGCAACUGUUUAUUAAAAACACAGCACUGUGCAAACACGAAAGUGGACGUAUACGGUGUGACGCCUGCCCGGUGCCGGAAGGUUAAUUGAUGGGGUUAGCGGCAACGCGAAGCUCUUGAUCGAAGCCCCGGUAAACGGCGGCCGUAACUAUAACGGUCCUAAGGUAGCGAAAUUCCUUGUCGGGUAAGUUCCGACCUGCACGAAUGGCGUAAUGAUGGCCAGGCUGUCUCCACCCGAGACUCAGUGAAAUUGAACUCGCUGUGAAGAUGCAGUGUACCCGCGGCAAGACGGAAAGACCCCGUGAACCUUUACUAUAGCUUGACACUGAACAUUGAGCCUUGAUGUGUAGGAUAGGUGGGAGGCUUUGAAGUGUGGACGCCAGUCUGCAUGGAGCCGACCUUGAAAUACCACCCUUUAAUGUUUGAUGUUCUAACGUUGGCCCCUAAUCGGGGUUGCGGACAGUGUCUGGUGGGUAGUUUGACUGGGGCGGUCUCCUCCUAAAGAGUAACGGAGGAGCACGAAGGUUGGCUAAUCCUGGUCGGACAUCAGGAGGUUAGUGCAAUGGCAUAAGCCAGCUUGACUGCGAGCGUGACGGCGCGAGCAGGUGCGAAAGCAGGUCAUAGUGAUCCGGUGGUUCUGAAUGGAAGGGCCAUCGCUCAACGGAUAAAAGGUACUCCGGGGAUAACAGGCUGAUACCGCCCAAGAGUUCAUAUCGACGGCGGUGUUUGGCAC
rnacentral:rRNA from 1 species